rnacentral:rRNA from 1 species
UACGUAGGGGGCAAGCGUUAUCCGGAAUUACUGGGUGUAAAGGGAGCGUAGACGGAAUUGCAAGUCUGAUGUGAAAAUCCGGGGCCCAACCCCGGAAGUGCAUUGGAAACUGUAUUUCUAGAGUGUCGGAGAGGCAAGUGGAAUUCCUAGUGUAGCGGUGGAAUGCGUAGAUAUUAGGAGGAACACCAGUGGCGAAGGCGAUUUGCUGGGCCAUUACUGACGCUCAUGCACGAAAGCGUGGGGAGCAAAUAGG